GCUUGGAUUGUAACAAAGCUUAAAGGUAUUUGCCUAUUACUUACAGAAGGCAGAAAAGAAACACCUCAAGGUAUACUCAAAACAGAACUUCAUGGCCAACUCUGCCUGGAGCUACUUUUGUCAGAGCAGCUGGAAUUGUUUUAAUUGUAGUUCCUAUAAUCAUCAUUGUAAUUGACUACUGCCUCUUCUGCAGAGAAGAAAAACAUGAUGGCCAUUCAAAUAUCUAAAAUAAAAAGCCCAGAAAAACUAUCAUUAUUCAUGGACUGCAAUUGAGUUUGCACCUUCUGCUAACAGCUGUUGGAAGACACCAUGAAAGCACUAUUUUACAGCCCUUCUUACUUUGUUAUUUGCACUAUGUUUUAACCCUGUGGUUUAUGGUCAGUAAAAGAAAGAGCUGCAAACCAAGCUAUUCAAGAGGCAAAAACUUGGUGCAAUUACUCACCACAUGGCAAACAUUAAUGACACAGCAGCUAUUUAGUUUGCUGAGUUAGGUGAGUGAUCUUAUUUGUAAAAUUCUAACUUUCCACUUUCUAAGAAAUUAUGAUCAUCAUGACUGUAAAACAAAGAAGAAAGCCUUGGAUACUCCUGCACAAAGUGUUUUUAUGACACUGACUGGAACUUAAGGGAAGUUGAACUGCUUCAUUCCUUUAACAAUUUUCAUAUUCUUGUUAUUAUGACCCUACUACUAUGAAGCUGACUAUGGAACAAGAUCAAGCAGAAGACAGGACCACUAAAAUUGCUAUACUUGAGGAAAGAACAUGCAUAUUUACACAUCUGGCUUCCUUACAUUCACUGUAUCCUCUGGAAAGUCUAGAGGUUGCCUUUUGAAGUAAGGUAAGGCUAAUUAAAUCCUUGGGAAUUUAUUUUGAGAGAGGCUACCUAGAUAUAGAAAUAUGAAAAGCUAGAAUAAUUUUUAAUUGAAACUUUUUCCAGCAUUGUCAACUCCAGGAGAUCAUUCAUAAGUACAUGCACCAGAAAAUGAAUUGUCAGCUUUUAAAUGAUUAUAAAACUAAAGGAAAGCAAAUCUG
rnacentral:lncRNA from 1 species